CAAAAAGCCAAGGAAGGCAAAGCAAAAUCACCUGAAAAGCCGAGAAACAAAGAGGAACACCCUGAAGGAGGGAGAAAAGAGUUCCAAGAACGGGAAAGGAAAAAGUAUCCAUCACCACAUCUGAACAAAACAAAGGUAUUGCAACACAGGAGCAGCAAUAAAGCAAGACUGACAAAAGAACGGCAAACAACAAGGAAAACAGAGCAAAGCAAAACAAAGACACGAAAUACAAGAGUCCAGCACAUGAACUCAAGACAGCAUCAUGGCAAAGCAAGGAAGCCAAACACAGGAAAACAGGCCCACUGCCCCGCCACAGGCAUACACAGAUCUAGAUAACUCCGUGACAGCCAGCUAACACAAACGGGAAGGAAGGAUGAAAGCAGUCUUUUUGGACUUCACAGGCUUUCCUCCUCAUCAAAUCUUGUUCUGCUCAGGAGCAAAAAGAGGGAAGCAAUUCACCUGGAUGACAAAGGGGGGCAGCCUGGUUCCACCCCUCCCUCACCUCAUUUCAGGGCUGGCUGCCCCAAGGGAAGGAUCACUGCUUCAAAUUCUGCUCUUGUUUAGUACGGUGUGAGCCCUCUUCCUCACAAAGGGGUAAGCAGUUCCAUCUUCAUUUACUGGACUGAGUCCUUUCCGCUCCCUGGGCAAGGGAAAACUCUGCCUGUGAUAGCCUUGGUCUACAGUUGCCAUUCUGGGUUAACCAGAGGUACACUCCAGAUGGAGGCCUGGGUCAAAGGAGGUCCCUAAGGGCCAGCUGGGUCUGGCCCCUCUGGCUGGACCACAUGCAGGACAGCAGGCUUUGGCUUGAUGGGCUGCAAGGCCAAAAAAGGGCGGCUCCAGGCCCCCCAGAGGAUGUCACAGCUGACAUCACCCACGCUCCUGGAACCUUUGUGCUGUUACAAUCAGUUCCCAUGACGAUGACGGGCCGUCCACAAGGACAGCUGGCAGAUGUUUACAGGCACCUCAGCUGGGAGAUGCACUGCCCGCAGCCGCUCGCCGUGCCCUGGGGCUGAGAGCAGCCCUGGCAGAAGACAAGCUCGGCCUCAUCCCCUGCUGGAUUACGGUUCAGUGCUACUAUUUAGUCUUACUACUAACUGCGGACCGUUACCCUUUGCCAUCAGAUUGGCGGGUUACUGCAUUAGAUAAGGCUUCACGUGGAAAUGCUACCAAGUUUAGGGGGCUAGGGAGUUUACUUGACAAUGCAGGCAUACAAGUCUGCAGAUGGGUAUCACCUGUCUCAAAGGGGGAAACGGAUCCUUGCCCAGGAGCUGGCAGGACUAGUAGAGAGGGCUUUGAACUAGACAUGAGGGGGGAAGGGGAUAAAACCAGGCCUGCUAGAGGUGAGCCUGGGGGAGCGAUAAUAGGAUUAGGGGUGAGGAGAGAGGCCCAGCUAAAGUGUGUCUAUACCAAUGCACGCAGCACGGGCAACAAACAAGAAGAGUUAGAAGCCAUUGUGCAGCAGGCAAACUAUGACCUAGUUGCCAUUACAGAAACGUGGAGGGACCACUUCCACGACUGGAGUGCUGCAAUGGAUGGCUACAAACUCUUCAGGAAGGAUAGGCAGGGAAGGAGGGGUGGUGGAGUGGCUCUCUACGUUAAAGAGUGCACUGAGGUUACUGAACUUAUGACUGGGGAAAAGAAGGUUGAAUCCUUAUGGGUUAAGAUCAGGGGAAGAGCCGACAAGGCAGACAUCCUGGUGGGCGUCUGUUAGAGACCGCCAAACCAGGAUGAAGAGACAGAUGAGGUGUUGUGUGAGCAGCUGGUGG
ensembl:lncRNA